rnacentral:rRNA from 1 species
CCUACGGGUGGCAGCAGUGGGGAAUAUUGGUCAAUGGACGAGACUCUGAACCAGCCACGCAGCGUGAAGGAUGACUGCCCUCUGGUUUGUAAACUUCUUUUAUAUGGGAAUAAAAUGUUCCACGUGUGGGAUUUUGUAUGUACCAUAUGAUUCAGGAUCGGCUAACUCCGUGCCAGCAGCCGCGGUAAUACGGAGGAUCCGAGCGUUAUCCGGAUUUAUUGGGUUUAAAGGGAGCGUAGGUGGAUUGUUAAGUCAGUUGUGAAAGUUUGCGGCUCAACCGUAAAAUUGCAGUUGAAACUGGCAGUCUUGAGUACAGGAGAGGUGGGCGGAAUUCGUGGUGUAGCGGUGAAAUGCUUAGAUAUCACGAAGAACUCUGAUUGCGAAGGCAGUUCACUGGACUGCAACUGACACUGAGGCUCGAAAGUGUGGGUAUCAAACAGGAUUAGAUACCCGAGUAGUC